CAACCACUCAACCGCAGCGCCGGCUUCGUCCCCAAACACAGUCGCCGCCGACCGCCUAGUCGUCGCCGAGCACCCUUCUCUACCAAGGAAACCCUUCGUCGCUUCGUCCCCAUCCCCCGCGCACCCAGCGCCUGCUUCCUCCCGAGGAAAGCCGCCGACCGCCCUCCAUCCCCACCACAACAACGACCUCCUCCACAGGUUUCCUCCGCCGAGCAGGCCUCCUCCUCCUCAAGCUUUCUCCCCCUAGUAGGGCCUCCUCCUCCACGAGCAUCCUUCCCUGAGCACUAAGUUGGAUCGCCUCCUGUUUCCCUCACCCGAGCAGCGGGCCUUCCUGUACGGCCCCUCUCCCGAGAAGCUCCACCUCCUCUACAUCCUCCCCCAGGUGCAGCGCCGCCUCCUUGCUCACCGAGAGCACUUGGCCGCUGAGAGUGACUUAUAAGUUCAUGGCAAAAGCAGCAACACGAGUACGCAACCACAAGCAAGCUGAGGAGUUACAUAUAUGCAUAUCUUAUGCUCAUUUCACCAAAGUUUGGCCGACCUUUUGGUGUCUAUUAUUUGUGUACGUUUCAUCGCUUUAGAAGUAAUAUUCAAUCCAAAUCUUUUCUUUAAUAAAGCAAUUCAGCUAGUAUGUUUGCAAGCAAAUUUAUGCCAGGACAAGUACUAGUAGUGGAGCCAAGAACAUAUUAGGGCACGAUGAUUAAUGGAUUAUUCACGCAGGUUCCUGUCAAACUUUGCUAUCAAUUCUGUUCCCAUAUCCUCCGGCACGCAAAUUCGCUCAAAGUCAUUAAAAAUCUGGGAGUUUCCAGGGAACACAUAUGGAACUGGGAUAUAUGGGUUUCUACAAGUUUUGCGCUUCAUAUUUCAACUAGUUCCAGUCAAAGCCAAUUUCAGGUUUCUGGUUACAAGAAAAAUCAGUUAACACUUAACUAGGUUUCAACAAGUUUCUUCAUACAAACAGAUUUCUGGUUACCAGCAAAAUCAGUUAACACUUAACUAGAUUUCAGCUAGUUUCAGAUAGGUGUUGUUUUGCAAUAUGCUUGAC